GGUUUUUAGUCCACAUGGGGCUCUUGUUUCUGUAAUUCCUCUGAUUUCUGGUCAACUCUACUGACUUUGGACUUUGGUUUAGCUUCUUAAUCUUGGACCCCUAGUUAAACCUUUGCUUCAGUUUCAGACUUUGGGUUUCAAGGCCUGACUCCCAGUUUGUAAAUUUGGUUGCCCUCAGUUGUUCCCAAUCUACAGUAUAUUCCUGGAAUGCUGCUGGUCCUCAUGCCUGGCUCCACUUACUAGGCCUGAUGCCCUUUUGAACCAUGACGAGAGAGAGAAGUGCCCUUGGCAGAACUGCUCCUGGGUUUCCUGCUUGUCCAGAGAGAGAUGAGAUCUGUCAUUUAAUGACCACCCUGCUCUGUGCCCAGGAUUGUGUACUGGAGAAGGAUAGGACGGAGUCUGUUAUGAUGUGUGGCAGUACCCGUGGAGUCUGUGUCCAGAGAUGGCUGAGGUUCCAAUUGCCAGGGCAGAGAUGGGUGGGCAUAGGUAUGGGUGCUGGCAGGUGGUUUUCUCUCUUGCUCCAGUUGAAUGUGAGCACAGCUCCAUUGGCCAAGUCACUUCUCAGCCUCAAGCAUUCCAGGAACUUCAACCUCCCACCUCUAAGAUGCCAGGUACCCCACUACAAGCCUCAAAUUUCCAUGGACUUAUACUUGGUAACCCCAAGGUAACUGGACAUUCCCACCUGCUCCUGAAGUUUCCAUAUGCAUCCACCUAGCUACCACAACUUGAAUGCUUACAGCACCCACUGGACAUGAAUGCUCCAGGAACAUGUACCUAAUGGCAAAAAAAACCCCAAAAAAACAACCCUGCCAGCACCCCAGGUUGACAUGGCCCAGGCACCUGCUGGGAGUGGCCAAGCCCUGCAGUUUUUUGGCCAGGGUCCUCUUUGAGCUGGCCCAGUACUGAGGGUCUAUACCACUUCUCUCCAGAGCUGAACUGCCUGCAUGAGCUCACACAUGGUGGGUUCAUCCCUGUUAGGAUCCAGUCUUCAGGGUGCCUGGAUCUGGCCUUUAAAAUGUGGGGUCUGGGUCUUGGAGUUCUCUUGGCCUCAGUGUCUGGGUUUGCAUGUAGGUCAUGGGGUGCUUUAUGACAGGGUCUUGGAGGUCUGAGGCCACAGUCUGCGGUCUCCAGAGCCUAGGGGCCUGAGGUGUAUGCAGGGGACAUAGCUGCCUUGGUUCCUCCCCAUUGCUUGUCAGUGAUCCACAGUCAGAUGCAGGGCUGGGGUUGAGCUUUCUUGACUCAGAGACAGCCCAGAAGUGAGGUUUGCUGAGUGCCAGCAUGCCUACCCAUGAGGGACAG